GUGUCAGCCGCCGCGGUAAUACGAAGGGGGCUAGCGUUGUUCGGAAUUACUGGGCGUAAAGGGCGUGUAGGCGGCCCGCUAAGUCAGGUGUGAAAGGCCUGGGCUCAACCCAGGAAAUGCGCCUGAGACUGACGGGCUUGAAUCCGGGAGAGGAUGGUGGAACUCCCAGUGUAGAGGUGAAAUUCGUAGAUAUUGGGAAGAACACCCGUGGCGAAGGCGGCCAUCUGGACCGGUAUUGACGCUAAGGCGCGACAGCGUGGGGAGCAAACAGGAUUAGAUACCCUGGUAGUCCACGCCGUAAACGAUGAGUGCUAGACGUUGGGAAGCCUAGCUUUUCAGUGUCGCAGCUAACGCAUUAAGCACUCCGCCUGGGGAGUACGGCCGCAAGGUUGAA
rnacentral:rRNA from 1 species